UGUUUUUUUUGACAAUGCAUUGUUACUAAGAUUUAGGCCAUGAAUGUUUUGUAGUUUUUAUUGGUUUUU
rnacentral:sRNA from 1 species